CUUGCUGAAUUAUUCACCCGUGUCUUUUGCGUACUUCUUGUUUCCUUGGUGGGUUCGCCCACCAUAGGACAAACCACAUAAACCUUUUGUAAUUGCAA
rnacentral:rRNA from 1 species